GUAAAAUAUCAAAUAUUUACUAAAUUCCAGAAUCUCUCAUUAUUUUGAAAUGAGUUUAGCAUGCACAUUUUGUCAUUGUUUUUACAAAACAUCUCCAUUACUUCCACUGCGUAAUGGAUUCUUUCAUUCUCUUCGGCCCAUCUCCAUCAGACCAAUCAUAUCAUUGCUCCACUGAGUUGCUCGAGCUUCGAUCUCUGGCACCCUCACCAGCAUCAGCAACCUCUUCUUUCUUCACCCAAACCAUUCCACUAUGUCUCCCCUUCUGCUCUGCAGACUGAUUAAACCUCCUAAAACUUCCUCUGUGCUGCCCAUAACGGACACUCAGACCACCAUUAUAACCUCUAUACUCAUAAUACCUGCGAUUAAGAGUCCUAUUAUCAAUCCUAUUAUAACCUCUAUGAUCGCCAUAUCUGCGAUUAACAACCCUAUUUUGCGUAUCCGAUCUGUUACUCUCAUUUCUUAUAGAAAAAUCCUCAAGCUUUCGCUCAAUCUUCAGAGUACCCUCACUCUUCUCCGCCGCAUUCUCAACUUCCUUCACAUUUUUCAAUGUUCCACCACUCUUCUCCGCCUCUUUCUCAACUUCCUCCACAUUUUUCGCUAUUCCACCACUCUUCUCCGCCUCAUUCUCAACUUCCUCCACAUUUUUCACUAUUCGACCACUCUUCUUAACCGCACUAGUAAAUUUAGGCCUAUAAUCCAACCUCAUAUCCCUCGUUUUCUCAGGCCUCGUAACCGGGGUAUUCUCCUCGCUCUUAACAGGCGGCGCGCGUGGCUCGCGUACCUUUGGUUCUUCCUCUUCUUGUGCCCUAGCUUCUCCAUCAUCGAUCAGCUUCUCCUUCUUCUUUUCCUUCCCCUUCCUCUUCCAAUUCUUCUUUUUCUUAUUUCCCAAAUCAUUGUUCUUCGUCUCCUUCACAGUACUCUCACUCUCAUUUCCUUCAACAACAGCAGAAACCGCUGGAGCGUGGUUUUCCUCUGGACAACCACCGAAACCAGUUUCCGUCAAAUUGCGAUUUCUGCGCUCAUUACGGCGGUUGCGAUUGCGAUUGCUUCGACUCGAUCGGGCGUCUUUGAUUAGGUGAACUUGGGGGUUUGGGUCUUUUUCUUCAUUUUGCUGCUCCUCUUCCUGGUUUUGUUCUUCCUCUUUCUCCUUGAGCUUACGCUGCUGCUCUUUAAUCCAGCGUUCUUGAAGUUGUUGGAGAGUGACGUAAUUAGAUGGAAUAUUUGAGGGCCUUGUCUUGUCCUCCAUUGAUGAAGCGCAUAGAGAGAGUUUGGAGGAGGAGACUGAAAUCACAGGUGCUAUUUUGGGGGCACAAGCAAAGUCACGACUCACGGGUCCACAAUUUCCUUUCCACGGAAGGCGUUG
rnacentral:misc_RNA from 1 species